UGGAAACUCAAAGAGGUAGAUGAAGAAGCAAAAACCGUAACCAGCACAGAGAGCCUACACUUCAGGUUCCUAUGACGACUUUUCCUUUGCUGGACACAAGUGUGUUGUCCUGCCCAUGGAGUCCAUCAACUGCCAUUACAAAGCAGAAGUCCUGUUGACUGUAAGCCCCCAACUUUGAGUACAUAAAGAACAGAACACAAAGUGCAUGUUGAAAAUCCAUGACUGGGUUAUAUGAACACUGAACAUUCUUCACAGCAUAAACUGCGUUGGUAUUUUCUCUGUGAGAAGGGGAGCCUGCUUCCAGUUUGCUACAUGGC